rnacentral:rRNA from 1 species
AUUGAACGCUGGCGGCAUGCCUAACACAUGCAAGUCGAACGGCAGCACAGUAUGUAGCAAUACAUAUGGGUGGCGAGUGGCGGACGGGUGAGUAACGCGUGGGAAUCUGCCCUAUAGUGGGGGACAACCCGACGAAAGUCGGGCUAAUACCGCAUACGCCUACGGGGAAAGGCUUCGGCCGCUAUUGGAUGAGCCCGCGUCGGAUUAGCUAGUUGGUGGGGUAAAGGCCUACCAAGGCGACGAUCCUUAGCUGGUCUGAGAGGAUGAUCAGCCACACUGGGACUGAGACACGGCCCAGACUCCUACGGGAGGCAGCAGUGGGGGAAUAUUGGACAAUGGGCGAAAGCCUGAUCCAGCAAUGCCGCGUGAGUGAUGAAGGCCUUAGGGUUGUAAAGCUCUUUUACCCGGGAUGAUAAUGACAGUACCGGGAGAAUAAGCCCGGCUAACUCCGUGCCAGCAGCCGC